UACGAAGGGGGCUAGCGUUGCUCGGAAUUACUGGGCGUAAAGGGUGCGUAGGUGGUCGUUUAAGUCCGUUGUGAAAUCCCUGGGCUCAACCUGGGAAUGGCAGUGGAUACUGGACGGCUAGAAUGCGGUAGAGGGUAGUGGAAUUCCCGGUGUAGCAGUGAAAUGCGUAGAUAUCGGGAGGAAUACCAGUGGCGAAGGCGCUGACCUGGACGAAGAUUGACGCUGAGGUGCGAAAGCGCGGGGAGCAAACAGG
rnacentral:rRNA from 1 species